rnacentral:rRNA from 1 species
CCUACGGGGUGCACCAGGCGCGAAAACUUUACCAUGCGGGCAACCGUGAUAAGGAAACCCCGAGUGCCAGCACAGGCUGGCUGUCCGCCAGUUUAAACAACUGGCGAAGAAAGGGCCGGGCAAGACCGGUGCCAGCCGCCGCGGUAAA